rnacentral:rRNA from 1 species
CUCGUAGGCGGUUUGUUGCGUCGGGAGUGAAAACUUACAGCUUAACUGUGAGCGUGCUUCCGAUACGGGCAGACUUGAGGUAUUCAGGGGAGAACGGAAUUCCUGGUGUAGCGGUGAAAUGCGCAGAUAUCAGGAGGAACACCGGUGGCGAAGGCGGUUCUCUGGGAAUAUCCUGACGCUGAGGAGCGAAAGUGUGGGGAGCGAACA